AGUGUCUUCAGCUUUUCCCCGAGGGAGUUCACGUGCUCCUUGAUGUCUGGGCCCUGGCUCUCAGCCUGGGGCAUCACCUCUUCCAGGUAAAACUGGAUCAUCUCUGACAAGGCUUGGCAACCCAGCUCUGCCACUGGAAUCCAGAACUCCAUGUACACCUCUACCAAGGAAACCCUAUCAUCUGUGUGAGAUGGAAUAAGUACUAACACCCAUCUCCUGGUGAUGAGCAGAAACUGGGAUUAAAUGCAUGUCACAGUGUCUGGCCCAUGACAGAAAGAUGAACAAAGAGACUUCAACAAGAGGAGAGCAAGAUCCUGAUGACCAGAGCAUUACAUCCACCAGCAGCUAGCUCACAGUGCUGACACUUGCAUGCACCAAUAUGAUUCUAAGAAGAUAUAGAGGGAGUAUUUGUAUAUGAAUUCAUGUGUUCUUCACCAUCCAUGCACGGAUAUGGACCAGCAAAAACUGAUUAGCUUCUCUAAUACCGAUUCUUGGAAGACAGAGACUAAUGGCUCAGUUCAGGUUAAGUGUCCCCCUCCAAUCAACUACAUCCAGAGGACCAGAGUCAUGUGGCUGCCAAGGUCAUGAGAUCAGACUGGGAAACAUCAUAAAUGCUUUGUCCUCUGUGAAGACACCCACCAAUCGUAAGAAGACUUCAGAAGAAGUCCCCUCUGUCUUGAGUUUCCGUAGCACUUUCUCUCCCCUCUUCUAUGACACUUAUGAUUCCUAUCUUGUGUUGGUAUUGCUUUAGACAUCUUAUCCCUCACUUCACACAUCUAUGUUUCUUGUUUGUUUACCUUCAUAUACCUCAUUGCUUGUGCAAAAAAAAUUGGGCAUGUGCUCAAUAAAUAUUUGAAAUCAUGAUAAUCCCCAAAUAAAUCCAUUUUCAGAAAACUUAAA